rnacentral:tRNA from 1 species
GGAUUGUGGCUCAGUGAUAGAGUGCUCGCCUCACACAUAUGAGACCCUGGGUUCGAUCCUCAGCACCA